rnacentral:rRNA from 1 species
AUUGAACGCUGGCGGAAUGCUUUACACAUGCAAGUCGAACGGCAGCACGGACUUCGGUCUGGUGGCGAGUGGCGAACGGGUGAGUAAUACAUCGGAACGUGCCCAGUCGUGGGGGAUAACGUAGCGAAAGCUACGCUAAUACCGCAUACGAUCUAAGGAUGAAAGCGGGGGAUCGCAAGACCUCGCGCGAUUGGAGCGGCCGAUGGCAGAUUAGGUAGUUGGUAGGGUAAAGGCCUACCAAGCCGAGGAUCUGUAGCUGGUCUGAGAGGACGACCAGCCACACUGGGACUGAGACACGGCCCAGGCGCCUACUGGAGGCAGCAGUGGGGAAUUUUGGACAAUGGACGCAAGUCUGAUCCAGCCAUUCCGCGUGCAGGAUGAAGGCCCUCGGGUUGUAAACUGCUUUUGUACAGAACGAAAAGGUCUCUAUUAAUACUAGGGGCUCAUGACGGUACUGUAAGAAUAAGCACCGGCUAACUACGUGCCAGCCGCCGCCGUAA